ACCCAGUCUCGUCCGAUCCAGGAAGUCAAGCAACAUUGGGUCAAGUUAGUACUUGGAUGGGUGACCGCCUGGGAAUACUUGAUGCUGUAGAUAA
rnacentral:rRNA from 1 species